GACGAACGCUGGCGGCGUGCCUGACACAUGCAAGUCGGACGGUUCUUGCACCUUCAAGCUUGCUUGUUGGUUCAAGGAUAGUGGCGGACGGGUGAGUAACGCGUGAACACCUACCCAUUGGAGGGGUACAACCCGUCGAAAGGCGGGCUAAUACCGCGUAAGCCGUGAGGUGAAAGGCUGCUCUUUGGUGGCUGCCGAUGGAUGGGUUCGCGUCCUAUCAGCUGGUUGGUGGGGUAACGGCCUACCAAGGCUAAGACGGGUAGCCGGUCUGAGAGGAUGGCCGGCCACACUGGAACUGAGACACGGUCCAGACUCCUACGGGAGGCAGCAGUGGGGAAUCUUGGGCAAUGGGGGAGACCCUGACCCAGCGACGCCGCGUGAGGGAUGAAGGUUUUCGGGUCGUAAAGCUCUGUUCUUGAGGACGAAUAAGCCAGGGAUGGAAAGCCCUGGUGAUGACUGUACUCAAGGAGAAAGCUCCGGUAACUACGUGCCAGCAGCCGCGGUAAACUACUCGUAC
rnacentral:rRNA from 1 species